rnacentral:rRNA from 1 species
UACAGAGGUCCCAAGCGUUGUUCGGAUUCACUGGGCGUAAAGGGUGCGUAGGUGGCGAGGUAAGUCGGAUGUGAAAGCUCGGAGCUCAACUCCGAAAUGGCAUUGAAAACUACCUUGCUAGAGGGUCGGAGGGGGGACUGGAAUUCUCGGUGUAGCGGUGAAAUGCGUAGAUAUCGAGAGGAACACCUGCGGCGAAGGCGGGUUGCUGGGCUGACACUGACGCUGACAGCGCGAAAGCUAGGGGAGCGAACGGG